rnacentral:rRNA from 1 species
GAUGAACGCUGGCGGCGUGCCUAAUACAUGCAAGUCGAGCGAACAGAUGAGGAGCUUGCUCCUCUGACGUUAGCGGCGGACGGGUGAGUAACACGUGGAUAACCUACCUAUAAGACUGGGAUAACUUCGGGAAACCGGAGCUAAUACCGGAUAAUAUAUUGAACCGCAUGGUUCAAUAGUGAAAGACGGUUUUGCUGUCACUUAUAGAUGGAUCCGCGCCGCAUUAGCUAGUUGGUAAGGUAACGGCUUACCAAGGCAACGAUGCGUAGCCGACCUGAGAGGGGGAUCGGCCACACGGGACCUGAGAAACGGUCAGGACUCUACGGGAGGCAGCAGUAGGGAAUCUUCCGCAAUGGGCGAAAGCCUGACGGAGCAACGCCGCGUGAGUGAUGAAGGUCUUCGGAUCGUAAAACUCUGUUAUUAGGGAAGAACAAAUGUGUAAGUAACUAUGCACGUCUUGACGGUACCUAAUCAGAAAGCCACGGCUAACUACGUG